UACGUAGGGUGCGAGCGUUGUCCGGAAUUAUUGGGCGUAAAGCGCUUGUAGGCGGUCUGUCGCGUCUGCUGUGAAAAUCCGGGGCUCAACCCCGGACUUGCAGUGGGUACGGGCAGACUAGAGUGUGGUAGGGGAGACUGGAAUUCCUGGUGUAGCGGUGAAAUGCGCAGAUAUCGGGAGGAACACCUGAGGCGAAGGCGGGCUACUGGGCCGAUACUGACGCUGAUGCGCGAAAGCCAGGGGAGCGAACGGG
rnacentral:rRNA from 1 species